rnacentral:lncRNA from 1 species
CAGAAAACAUAUGUUGAUCCCAAACAUGCAAUGACAUCCAUAUAAACCUUGCAAAAUGAUGGCUGUGAUGACACCCAGUGAUGGUCUUUCUCAACUCUCUGUACCUCAUCUCACUCAUCAGAGCCUUUGGAGCCUCAGUUGCCUUGCAAUGCUGUUUCAGGCUGUACUCAUUCUUUCUGCACCACAAAUGUCAUGCCUUCUCAAGUGUUUUUAUGCCCUGGACCCAUUGCAUCCAGUGAUGUCAGAGGAAUUCUCAGCUCAGUAUAGUCACAUCAUGGAUCAGAGA